rnacentral:lncRNA from 1 species
UCCUGAAAUUUGCUUUAUCAACAAGACAGAGUCUAUCAACUUGACCUGGGGCUUGCCAAGGCAGUCCAGCCGUUCACAAAUAAAAGAGGCAGCCUGUUUAAGGAGCCCAUACGAAUCUCUCCUUUCCCCGCAGAAGUAUGCUGCUCCAGGAGAUGCCAGAAGAGCAGGGAGGUUAAUAGUAAAUAGUUAGAAGAGUUUUUUAAAAAAACAUUAGACAACAAGAAACUACUUUUUCAGUUCAAUCUGGCCUCUCAUAGUUUGAGGUAGUUUUCCAUAGGCUGCCACUGGAAUUGGAUACAAUUGGUAGAGCCAACCAGAAUGAAAUGUUCCCAGGAUGAAAAGAAUGCCAAUGCCAAACCAGCAGGGGAGAAGCAAAGAACCCUAGACCCCUGGAGGCCCUAGUGCCUUUGACAAGGGUAAAAGAUCUUUCUUCAAGGGAAUGGGUGAGUCCUGCCAGUGACUACAAGAGGUUUAUCUCCAGCCACACAGAUUCAGCAUAAACUGGAACCAAGAUCCCCACAAAGGCUUCACCAUACAGGAGACAGUGUUAUUUAUCUGCUCAUAAAUGCUGAUAGUCAAGAACAAAAUGAACGAGUCACAAGAUAUUGAAAACAAAAAUCCUUAGGAGCAGCUGAUCCUGGUGGGCCAGGAAGCUCAGAAUCAAAAUGGAUGCUCAGUUGGAACAUCCGCACUAGCCUGCCACAUUAGCACGUUUGCUACCACCUCUUUCUGCAGAUCCCAUUUGCAAUUUCUGGGUUUACACCAUCAGACUGAUUUUCUAUGUAAUCUUCGUUAUAAGCCUCUUCAGAUGUUUUUAAAAUGAAAUGAGGAAUACAUUAAUGAAUAAUCAAAU